UACGUAGGGUGCAAGCGUUGUCCGGAAUUAUUGGGCGUAAAGAGCUCGUAGGCGGUCUGUCGCGUCUGCUGUGAAAACUCGGGGCUUAACCCCGGGCCUGCAGUGGGUACGGGCAGACUAGAGUGCGGUAGGGGAGACUGGAAUUCCUGGUGUAGCGGUGAAAUGCGCAGAUAUCAGGAGGAACACCGGCGGCGAAGGCGGGUCUCUGGGCCGUAACUGACGCUGAGGAGCGAAAGCGUGGGGAGCGAACAGG
rnacentral:rRNA from 1 species